GAGGCAGCAGUGGGGAAUUUUGGACAAUGGGGGCAACCCUGAUCCAGCAAUGCCGCGUGUGUGAAGAAGGCCUUCGGGUUGUAAAGCACUUUUGUCCGGGAAGAAAUCGCACCUGAUAAUACCGGGUGUGGAUGACGGUACCGGAAGAAUAAGGACCGGCUAACUACGUGCCAGCAGCCGCGGUAAUACGUAGGGUCCAAGCGUUAAUCGGAAUUACUGGGCGUAAAGCGUGCGCAGGCGGUUGUGCAAGACCGAUGUGAAAUCCCCGGGCUUAACCUGGGAAUUGCAUUGGUGACUGCACGGCUAGAGUGUGUCAGAGGGGGGUAGAAUUCCACGUGUAGCAGUGAAAUGCGUAGAGAUGUGGAGGAAUACCGAUGGCGAAGGCAGCCCCCUGGGAUAACACUGACGCUCAUGCACGAAAGCGUGGGGAGCAAACAGGAUUAGAUACCCUGGUAGUCCACGCCCUAAACGAUGUCAACUAGUUGUUGGGGAUUCAUUUCCUUAGUAACAUAGCUAACGCGUGAAGUUGACCGCCUGGGGA
rnacentral:rRNA from 1 species